rnacentral:rRNA from 1 species
UACGAAGGGGGCUAGCGUUGUUCGGAAUUACUGGGCGUAAAGCGCGCGCAGGCGGUCUUCCAAGUCAGUGGUGAAAGCCCGGAGCUCAACUCCGGAACUGCCAUUGAAACUGUUAGACUUGAGUAUGAGAGAGGUGAGUGGAAUUCCCAGUGUAGAGGUGAAAUUCGUAGAUAUUCGCAAGAACACCAGUGGCGAAGGCGGCUCACUGGCCCGGUACUGACGCUGAGGUGCGAAAGCGUGGGGAGCAAACAGG